AAAAAAAAAGGAAAGAAAGAAAAACAGGAACACACGCACACAAGUGUGAGUGUGUGUUGGUCGUUCAUUUCUUUC
rnacentral:ribozyme from 1 species